GACGAACGCUGGCGGCGUGCUUAACACAUGCAAGUCGAACGGCAAGGCCCUGCUUUUGUGGGGUGCUCGAGUGGCGAACGGGUGAGUAACACGUGAGUAACCUGCCCUUGACUUUGGGAUAACUUCAGGAAACUGGGGCUAAUACCGGAUAGGAGCUCCUGCUGCAUGGUGGGGGUUGGAAAGUUUCGGCGGUUGGGGAUGGACUCGCGGCUUAUCAGCUUGUUGGUGGGGUAGUGGCUUACCAAGGCUUUGACGGGUAGCCGGCCUGAGAGGGUGACCGGCCACAUUGGGACUGAGAGAGGGACCAGACUCCUAUGGGAGGCAGCAGUGGGGAAUAUUGCACAAUGGGCGGAAGCCUGAUGCAGCAACGCCGCGGGCGGGAUGACGGCCUUCGGGUUGUAAAACGCUUUCGCCUGUGACGAAGCGUGAGUGACGGUAAUGGGUAAAGAAGCACCGGCUAACUACGUG
rnacentral:rRNA from 1 species